rnacentral:lncRNA from 1 species
UAUCUACUUCUAUUUAAUUAUAUUAGUAAAUAUUAAAGUAAAUAUGUAUGUUUGUGAUAUUAUGUCUUCUUUUUAGUAAUAAGUUCUACAAAGAGUGGUCAUUAUCUUUCAUGGAUCUUAUAAUUAUUUAUCUUAGUUUUGACGGAUAUUAUUGAUAAAAGCAUCAAUUUUUUUUGCUAUAUUUAUAAGAUUCCUUACUAGCUCCCAUGUGUAUUUAUUAAUAUGUUAUUUGUACCAAUGAAUAAGAUAUUUUAACCUAUUUGGCAUCACUUUUAAUCCAAGACUUCUUCUACCUCAAAUCUUGAUAAUUAUUCACUUCUAUAGAAGGAGGUGGCAUUUAUCUUCUUGUGAUUGCUUGUUUUACUUAUUUCAAAUUAAUCUAAUGGAAAUAAAUCCGUAUAGGGCGAUUCAAAUACGGGGAAUAACUAGUUGCUUAAGCAUUCAUGUUAGGAUCACACAAUCAAUUACCUCCUGAAUGUAUCGUCUCUAUUCCUAAUAUUUGAACACACAAGGAAAUUAUAAUCUCCUCCUUCACCUUAUCGGUCUCUUCCUUACAACAAUUCAAUCAUACCAAUAACUGCUAUUUCCACCAAUAUAUUCACCCUCAUAAUCUCCAACUGUAAUACUGUGCCCUCUCAGCUUUCAGCACACAAUUACCUUCAUUCCAAUCACUGGAAUUCUUCACACAGAACUGCCAUUCACAUUACGGUGUUUCAUACAAAUACAAACUCAUUCUCUCUGCUGAACUACAAUCAAAUUUCAGCAUUCAAUCUUUCUUCUUCUCAAAUAAUACCAAUCACAUUUCCAUUCCAUAAUUUACUUCACAAUAUUCAGAAACUCUCAAUCCUCUUAUUCAAAGAAAAUAACAAAUAAAAGAAAAGAAGUAGCACCAAGCUUAUCCCGGCUCACACUAUCACAAGGAUGGCCCCUUAAUUAACUUCUACAACUCCUAUAUACUUUUCCUUGAUUCUCCAGAUUCUAACUGUAAUUCUGUAAUUAACCGCUUUUAAGAACUAAAUCACUCAUCUAUCCUCCUAAAUUUCCUAUUAUAUGGACUAUUAAUAUAUUUUACCAAUAUCUUUCAAAAAUGAAUUAAUAUCUAUUCUACACUUCUUCUCAAGAUAUUCAUUAUCUUAU